rnacentral:rRNA from 1 species
UUGAAAGGGAAACGAUUGAAGUCAGUCGUACCUAUGGGUAAUCAGCCUUUUGGGUGUGAUUUUGUGGAGCGUGAGGAGUUAAACGCCUUCAUGCCUGCAUAUUCGUGCACUUUGGGUGUACUUGCCCGUAUGGUUGGUUAACAUCAAUUUUGGUGGUCAUAAAAUGACUGGAGGAAUGUAGCUUCGAUCUCGUAUUGAAGUGUUAUAGCCUUCGGUAGAUGUGAUGAUCGAGAUUGAGGAUUGCAACGGAUACCCUUCGGGGCUACCUGUCUGAUCUCUGAUCGUUGCUCUGGUGCCGAAAGCUUGCUUACGGUUAUCAAAGUCGAUGGUCAAUAGGUUAGAACGGGUUAAAUUCGUUAAGGAUGUUGACGUA